AAUCAACGCUGGCGGCGUGCCUCAGACAUGCAAGUCGAACGAUUAAAGCUCUCUUCGGAGAGUGCAUAAAGUGGCGCACGGGUGAGUAACACGUAAGUAAUCUACCCUCGAGUGGGGAAUAACGUUCGGAAACGGACGCUAAUACCGCAUAAUGCAGCGGCACCGCAAGGUGACAGUUGUUAAAGAUUUAUCGCUUGAGGAGGAGCUUGCGGCAGAUUAGCUAGUUGGUAAGGUAAUGGCUUACCAAGGCUACGAUCUGUAACCGGUCUUAGAGGACGGGCGGUCAAAGUGACACUGAAUAACGGGUCAGACUCCUACGGGAGGCAGCAGUCUGGAAUUUUGGACAAUGGUCGCAAGCCUGAUCCAGCAAUGCCGCGUGCAGGAUGAAGGCCUUCGUGUUGUAAACUGCUUUUGUACGAGACGAAGAGACUCGCUCUAAUACAGUGGGUACAUGACGGUAUCGUAAGAAUAAGCACCGGCUAAC
rnacentral:rRNA from 1 species